GCUAAAUAAAUGUUGCUCAUUCAAAUCUUCUUCAAAGACAGGUUCUGGGGCUUCAUUAAUGUUGAUAAAACAUUUUGAAAUCUUCCUGAAAGUCAUUAAGGAAUGAUGUUAGCAGCCGUAUCAACCCAGCUGGAAGCCAAGUUCAUCAAACAUCUUCAGGAAGACUUUUCUCGCUAAAUUAGAUGGUCAAAGCUCUGAAGAUUAGGAGUCAAAGGACCUCAAUAUAAUGAAGGUUAAAUACGACAAAGCUACAGCCAAAAUUGUGUCAAGAUCUGAAAUGAUACAAGGGUGGCUCCUCUCUGUGCUCAUUCAAUAUCAAGCUUCAUAUCAGCUAAAGCAAUAAGGAAGUGAAAGAGAAAGAAAAGAGUUACCAAUAGAAAAAGGAAGAAAUUAAAUUAUCCUUAUUUUG